UUCAAAUACUGGUUCUCAUACGAUCACUGAAGUUAAGCAAUGUCAAGCUUGGUCAAUACAUAGAUGAGUGACCGCUUGGAAAUACCAGGUGUUGUAAG